GCCCGGGUGGCGAAAUCGGUAGACGCACAGGACUUAAAAUCCUGCGACUUUAAUCGGUCAUGCGGGUUCAAGUCCCGCCCCGGGCA
rnacentral:tRNA from 1 species